GAUGAAGAACGCAGCGAAAUGCGAUAAGUAAUGUGAAUUGCAGAAUUCAGUGAAUCAUCGAAUCUUUGAACGCACAUUGCGCCCGCCAGUAUUCUGGCGGGCAUGCCUGUUCGAGCGUCAUUUCAACCAUCAAGCCCCCGGCUUGUGUUGGGGACCUGCGGCUGCCGCAGGCCCUGAAAACCAGUGGCGGGCUCGCUAGUCACUCCGAGGGUAGUAAUACAUCUCGCUCAGGGCGUGCUGCGGGUUCCGGCCGUUAAAAAGCCUUAUUUACCCAAGGUUGACCUCGGAUCAGGUAGGAAGACCCGCUGAACUUAAGCAUAUCAAUAAGCGGAGGA
rnacentral:misc_RNA from 1 species